rnacentral:rRNA from 1 species
UACGUAGGGGGCAAGCGUUGUCCGGAAUCAUUGGGCGUAAAGAGCGUGUAGGCGGCUCGAUAAGUCUGCUGUGAAAGUCCAGGGCUCAACCCUGGAAGGCCGGUGGAAACUGUCGGGCUAGAGUCCGGAAGAGGCGAGUGGAAUUCCCGGUGUAGCGGUGAAAUGCGCAGAUAUCGGGAGGAACACCAAUAGCGAAGGCAGCUCGCUGGGACGGUACUGACGCUAAGGCGCGAAAGCGUGGGGAGCGAACAGG